CCCUGCCCGGCAGCCUCUGCGGCCGGAAGUUGGCUCGGCCGGUGUUCGGGGCAUCCCUCGGGCAGUUAACCGCACUUCCGCUGGCUGGGUAUCCGCGGCAAGUUCAGAUCAUUAGUUGGCUGGAGUUAAUUAACCACCAGACAAUUAGCUUAUCUUUUUCCCGAUCCUAAGACCAGCUGGAUUGCAUACAAUGAGUACAUCCAGAUAGUUAAGACCCUUGGAAUCAAGAUUAAGAGAACCAUCAAUUAAGGAGGCAGUGCGCACCUCUCCAGGGAAAUUUACUCCAGUGCUUCAUCCUACCUCAUUGGACACAGCCGACCGUGUUGGUCCUGGUUCCCUCUUCAAAUGCUGGCUCCUGGAAAUAGCAUCAAAGCAAGCAGCUGAUAAGACAAAACUGGGUUGUUGCUUAUGCUAAGGGGAAGCACCACCUUGAAAGAGUCAUUGUAGAGUGGAGGUCGGGAGGGCAAAGUUGAGAUACUGAGGUUUUGGGGUUUGGUUUAAGGCAGGUCCUUUGAUGUCGGACUUAAUCAGGGCUGGGUAAGGAUCAUGUUAUAAUAGUUUAGGAUUGUUGGUCACAGUUUUGUAUUGGUGGUCACAGUGAAGUGAGGGCUUCAAAGACUCUUGGAGCUUUCUUUGAUGCUCCCUGUUGAAGAGCUGUGUGGUUUUAUUAAUGGAUUUUCCUGAACUCAAGGAGUAAGGUUAUUUGCAACUUUUGUGUUUCUGGGCAAGCAUUUCCUGGAAUAAUAAAGUCACAAUAAUAGAGUCAUGUUAUUUUGCUUCAGCAAUUGUGAGUCGGAGUACUCUGCUAUUUGUAUCCAGAGGCACCCUGUUAUGGUUUCCUUGUGUGUAAAAUGGGGA
rnacentral:lncRNA from 10 species